UGGGGAUGCGUUCCAUUAGUUAGUUGGCGGGGUAACGGCCCACCAAGACAACGAUGGAUAGGGGUUCUGAGAGGAAGGUCCCCCACAUUGGAACUGAGACACGGUCCAAACUCCUACGGGAGGCAGCAGUGAGGAAUAUUGGUCAAUGGACGAGAGUCUGAACCAGCCAAGUAGCGUGAAGGAUGACUGCCCUAUGGGUUGUAAACUUCUUUUAUAUGGGAAUAAAAUGUUCCACGUGUGGGAUUUUGUAUGUACCAUAUGAAUAAGGAUCGGCUAACUCCGUGCCAGCAGCCGCGGUAAUACGGAGGAUCCGAGCGUUAUCCGGAUUUAUUGGGUUUAAAGGGAGCGUAGGUGGAUUGUUAAGUCAGUUGUGAAAGUUUGCGGCUCAACCGUAAAAUUGCAGUUGAAACUGGCAGUCUUGAGUACAGUAGAGGUGGGCGGAAUUCGUGGUGUAGCGGUGAAAUGCUUAGAUAUCACGAAGAACUCCGAUUGCGAAGGCAGCUCACUGGACUGCAACUGACACUGAGGCUCGAAAGUGUGGGUAUCAAACAGGAUUAGAUACCCUGGUAGUCCACACAGUAAACGAUGAAUACUCGCUGUUUGCGAUAUACAGUAA
rnacentral:rRNA from 1 species